rnacentral:lncRNA from 1 species
GAUGAACAAAGAGAAAGUGAAAGUCCUUGACUUGGUCUUUCAUUUCCUUCACAAGGAAAUACACAUCUUAAAGAUGGAUCAUCAACAAGUAAUCUAUUAUUCUCAUUCCAACCUUGAUCUUCUGUUGGUGAAACUAGUAACAUAUUUUCACUUGUAGUAAAAUUACCAUGUUGGUAAAACUGUUCAUUUGUUGAUUUGGAAUUGGAUGAUGAAGGACCAACACUGGUAUGACUACUAUUUUUGUUAAAGAAAUUACCUUUCCACAUAACUUGAGGAUUGUUUGAUGGAAACCCUAUCAUUUCCAUACCAGAAGUCAAGUUGUAAAUCUCUGGAUU